rnacentral:rRNA from 1 species
ACACAUGCAGUCGAGCGGAUGAGUGGAGCUUGCUCCAUGAUUCAGCGGCGGACGGGUGAGUAAUGCCUAGGAAUCUGCCUGGUAGUGGGGGACAACGUUUCGAAAGGAACGCUAAUACCGCAUACGUCCUACGGGAGAAAGCAGGGGACCUUCGGGCCUUGCGCUAUCAGAUGAGCCUAGGUCGGAUUAGCUAGUAGGUGAGGUAAUGGCUCACCUAGGCGACGAUCCGUAACUGGUCUGAGAGGAUGAUCAGUCACACUGGAACUGAGACACGGUCCAGACUCCUACGGGAGGCAGCAGUGGGGAAUAUUGGACAAUGGGCGAAAGCCUGAUCCAGCCAUGCCGCGUGUGUGAAGAAGGUCUUCGGAUUGUAAAGCACUUUAAGUUGGGAGGAAGGGCAGUAAGUUAAUACCUUGCUGUUUUGACGUUACCAACAGAAUAAGCACCGGCUAACUUCGUGCCAGCAGCCGCGGUAAUACGAAGGGUGCAAGCGUUAAUCGGAAUUACUGGGCGUAAAGCGCGCGUAGGUGGUUCAGCAAGUUGGAGGUGAAAUCCCCGGGCUCAACCUGGGAACUGCCUCCAAAACUACCGAGCUAGAGUACGGUAGAGGGUAGUGGAAUUUCCUGUGUAGCGGUGAAAUGCGUAGAUAUAGGAAGGAACACCAGUGGCGAAAGCGACUACCUGGACUGAUACUGACACUGA